AACUCAUUUGCUAACAGUUACUCUUUUCAAUUCUCAACCUAUUUUGUGAAAAUGUGCAGUAAGAACAGAAAAUAUUAUAUAUUUUUAGAAACAUUUAUUUAUAAUUAAAGAAUGACAUUCACCAAUUGAAUAACUCCUUAGGCAAAAUAGACAAGAGAACUUACAAGACUCGUAAUUAGGGGAAAAUACAAAAAUAGAACCAAGUGAAGAAUAUUCAUGAUCUUGUUGAGAAUAACAACUGUAAUAUUCAUUAAUUACAAGACUUAUCAAUCGAUUAAUUCGGAACUUACGGCCAAAACAACAGCUCCUAAUUCAAAGACUACCACUGUUUCCCAUGUUUGAACAUCAGAUGUGUUCCACAUUGCCUCUAAACCUACAUAAUCAAUCAUCCCAUUUACCAACAGAAUCGUCAGCCGAUAAGCCCCGGGUCGUCAGACAACCAGUGGUAAGAAAGAAAACAAUACCUCCGAUCUGUUGGUUGCCUCUGUCACUUUAUUUGCCAUUGGUUGUCG
rnacentral:lncRNA from 1 species